GGGGAUGACGGGCCUCGACGGUUAUUCUUCUUAAAUAAUGGCAAGCAGAGCCGGGCUAACUCUUAAAACUGGCCUAAAACUUAAUUGCUAACCAAAAAUUAGCUUUCGCGUACGCUUAACGCUGACGCGCAUCGGCGGUUCAACGCUUCAUAGAGCCAUCACCGGUGUUAUACCCGAAGCUAACUUUGAAAAGCUGCUCUUGUAUUCAAAGUAAAAACUAAAAGGGCAUUCGUGCUGAUUUAUCAGUAACUAAGCUUGUAGAAGUUAUUUUAGAAAAUUUCCGGAUGCCGGUUCAACUCCGACCAUCUCCAUAA
rfam:Candidatus Harrisonbacteria bacterium RIFCSPLOWO2_02_FTLL_41_13b rifcsplowo2_02_scaffold_1920, whole genome shotgun sequence.